rnacentral:rRNA from 1 species
GGGGUUUGCGUCCGAUUAGGUAGUUGGUUGAGGUAACGGCCCACCAAGCCGACGAUCGGUAGCCGGUCUGAGAGGAUGAACGGCCACAUUGGAACUGAGACACGGUCCAGACUCCUACGGGAGGCAGCAGUGGGGAAUCUUCCGCAAUGGGCGAAAGCCUGACGGAGCAACGCCGCGUGAGUGAAGACGGCCUUCGGGUUGUAAAACUCUGUGAUUCGGGACGAAAGAUAAGUAGACGAAUAAUCUGCAUAAGUGACGGUACCGAAAAAGCAAGCCACGGCUAACUACGUGCCAGCAGCCGCGGUAAAU